GGAACGCUCAGAGCGUUCAGUCGGCACUCGCGACUACCAGCGGUAAAACGCGUUAGGCUCGGGACGCUCACUCAACCCAAACUUUGCGCUCAUCAAUAAACAAACAUACCUUCGCCGUGUCUUACAUUACAGAAAGGUCAAACACCCCGUGGUAUGGACUAAAUAAAUUAAAUUCCUAGAAAUAUAUUGUUAAAACUGUUGUAAAAAAUUGUUUAACAUUGAAAAACCGCAAACAGUAAGAGCCCAUCGCCGCAUUCACCACCGAUUAAAGUUGCCGAGCUCUUCAGCGACAAAAUGCCUCUCAUGAACUCGUGCUGUUGCUGGCGAAGCCUCCGCCGAGGAUGCUACGCUUCAGCAGUAUAUACAUUGAUUUACUUCUGCGUCACGAUUGUGACAAUGGGACACUUCAUAGACGUGGAGCAUCGCUAUCUGAACGGCGAUAUGAAGGAGCCUGAGUCCGAAAGCUUCUUGGAACCGGAUAAGAUAACACCAGUUACCGUAUCGCUGAACAUCACCCUGCUGGCUUGCAGCACACUUGGACUCCUCGCUUGUAUGCUUCUUAUAAUUGGCAUUUAUAAGGAUAUAAAGUUCUUGCUGCUGCCUUGGAUCUUUGUUAUGGGAUUGGAGACACUGGUUGAGGUUGUAAAUCUAGUCUACUUGUUCUACUUGCAGACGAUAAAUCCCGACAUCUUUAGACAAGCGUGGUUACUUCAGGAUGCUGAACAGUCAAUGCUUCGUUGUUUCAUUUGCACAAGCUAUCAUCAACGUACUGUUUUUGGCUACUUCUCGCUUGAUUUCAACCCUAUAACGUCGUUCCUGUUUACCCUCGACUUUUUCAUCAUCGUGUUGAAUAUCUAUGCCAUGGUGUGCGUGAUAUCGCAGUUUCAAGAAUAUCUGGACGGGAGAGGCACCGCUGCCUUCGACUACUCAGAUAGACUUGCGGUUGUGCAGUACACAGCUACCGCACAACACACCACUACCACCAGCUCAGCACCAAGUGGACGUCGCCGCUCAGCACCCAGACCUUUGCCCAGCCGAUGUGACCCCGAAGAUUUCUCCGAAGCCCCCAGUCGCGCCAUUACAUCCGUCCUCUCGAAACCGAGCCGAUCUGCUAUUAAGAAGCAUGUCCAGUUUCCCGAUGAAAGUUGCAUAGAGGAAGCUAAUGAGGCCCCGAAUGGUGAUGAAAAAGCAGUUGGCCACAUACAUAAACAACCAUCUAAGAAAUCACUUCAAACCAGAACACAGUCAACAUGAAUGUUGCUUAGAAUAGAAGCCGAGGUUUAAAUUAUUCUUAAUAUUAACUUCAAAUCGAUAAUUCAGCAUUGCUAAACAAGAACAACAUUCAACAUAUAUAUACAUUGAUAGAUAAUAGUUUACAGUUGACACUCUCUAAUAUAUGCGACUUGUGGAUCAAACGAGAGUCUAUUAAAUCAUUGGUACGCAGCGUCAUUAGCCGAGAUGGCAGUAGUUGAGUCAACGUUCCGGAUCGCAAUAACCUCGGCCAAGGUUAAAGGUUGUUAAACUUUAUUGUAGAUAUUGUUCAAAGAUAAGAAAACCUUAAAUCAAACAUCAACAACUUUUUCAUUAACAGAAGAGCUCAUUAACAAGCUAUUUCUUAAAAUAUCAAGAGAACAUAAGAAUGUUAAAAAAUAUAGUAUAAGUUAUCGAUAUGAAAUAUCAACUUAUUAUUUUUAACUGCAACACACUUGUCGCCACUAACCAAGACGCCCGCGUCAUCAGCUCUCUCUGGAUGGAGCUGGAGUCGGAGAUUCCUGUACCGGAACGCUGACGGCGUCG